AUAGCCUUAGCUUAACUAAAAGUAUAAGUUUGUCGUACUUAAGAUGCGCUUCUUGCGCAGGUUAUU
rnacentral:tRNA from 1 species